AUAAAACUAAUCUAGUUGCUGUGCUGAUAGGAAAUAUCAAAAACGUUUGGUUCUGUUUUGUUGAACUAUUUUUGCUAAAAUGGAUUGUGAAAAGUUUUCAGAUUGUGGAUUUCUGUUUGAGUGUAGUCCAAAGAAUAAAUGUACAUUGGCAUUGUGGCAAUUUUUGGUAAUUAGUAUUUUGCUUUCGCUGCUUGCAAUUGCUCUCGAUUCGAUUUGCAAUAUUUACGUUUACUGGCGAUAUGGCACAUAUCUAGAACCGACUCCGACAUAAAAUUAUCAUCAAAAUUGAAGAAUAAAGGGAAAUAACUGUUUGAUCUAUUUUCGAGAACAUUAAAUUCUUUUU